rnacentral:rRNA from 1 species
UACGUAGGGACCGAGCGUUGUCCGGAAUCAUUGGGCGUAAAGAGCGUGUAGGCGGCCACUUAAGUCCUGCGUGAAAUCUUGCGGCUCAACCGCAAGCGGUCGUGGGAAACUGGGUGGCUAGAGUGCGGGAGAGGAGAGUGGAAUUCCUGGUGUAGCGGUGGAAUGCGUAGAGAUCCGGAAGAACACCGGUGGCGAAGGCGGCCUGCUGGGCAGUUGCUGACACUGAGGCGCGACAGCGUGGGGAGCAAACAGG